rnacentral:rRNA from 1 species
AUUGAACGCUGGCGGCAUGCCUAACACAUGCAAGUCGAACGAGUGGCGGACGGGUGAGUAAUGUCUGGGCAACUGCCUGAUGGAGGGGGAUAACUACUGGAAACGGUAGCUAAUACCGCAUACUAUCAGAUGUGCCCAGAUGGGAUUGGCUUGUUGUUGGGGUAACGGCUCACCAAGGCGACGAUCCCUAGCUGGUCUGAGAGGAUGACCAGCAACACGGGAACUGAGACACGGUCCAGACUCCUACGGGAGGCAGCAGUGGGGAAUAUUGCACAAUGGGCGAAAGCCUGAUGCAGACAUGCCGCGUGUAUGAAGAAGGCCUUCGGGUUGUAAAGUACUUUCAGCGGGGAGGCGGUACCCGAAGAAGAAGCACCGGCUAACUCCGUGCCAGCAGCCGCGGUAAUUC